AUUGAACGCUGGCGGCAGGCCUAACACAUGCAAGUCGAGCGAGCGGCGGACGGGUGAGUAAUGUCUGGGAAACUGCCCGAUGGAGGGGGAUAACUACUGGAAAAGGUAGCUAAUACCGCAUACCAUCAGAUGAACCCAGAUGGGAUUAGCUAGUAGGUGGGGUAACGGCUCACCUAGGCGAAGAUCCCUAGCUGGUCUGAGAGGAUGACCAGCCACACUGGAACUGAGACACGGCCCCGACUCCGACGUGAGGCAGCAGUGGGGAAUUUUGCACAAUGGGGGAAACCCUGAUGCAGCCAUCCCGCGUGUGUGAUGAAGGCCUUCGGGUUGUAAAGCACUUUCAGCAGGGAAGCGUUAUCCGCAGAAGAAGCACCGGCUAACUACGUGCCAGCAGCCGCGGUAAUAC
rnacentral:rRNA from 1 species